AGCGAACGCUGGCGGCAGGCCUAACACAUGCAAGUCGAACGGACCCUUCGGGGUUAGUGGCGGACGGGUGAGUAACACGUGGGAACGUGCCUUUAGGUUCGGAAUAGCUCCUGGAAACGGGUGGCAAUGCCGAAUGUGCCCUUCGGGGGAAGGAUUUAUCGCCUUUAGAGCGGCCCGCGUCUGAUUAGCUAGUUGGUGAGGUAAUGGCUCACCAAGGCGACGAUCAGUAGCUGGUCUGAGAGGAUGACCAGCCACACUGGGACUGAGACACGGCCCAGACUCCUACGGGAGGCAGCAGUGGGGAAUCUUGCGCAAUGGGCGAAAGCCUGACGCAGCCAUGCCGCGUGAAUGAUGAAGGUCUUAGGAUUGUAAAAUUCUUUCACCGGGGACGAUAAUGACGGUACCCGGAGAAGAAGCCCCGGCUAACUUCGUGCCAGCAGCCGCCGCAG
rnacentral:rRNA from 1 species